AGCAUCUUUAUUUGAGCUACUGGAGCCCA
rnacentral:piRNA from 1 species